GCUGGUCACUUCCAGUCUGCACAACGCUGGUCUGCAGUUUGCCUGUCCGCAGCCUAAAAAGUUUGGGAAUCACUGGCGUACACUACCAGUCUUUGCUUGAAAUACCAGCCCUUGGGUACAAGCCAACAACCCAGUGCGGGACUUGAGCCCAUGGCCGAAUAAAACAGGCUUCCUAGGCUAGCUCUCUGCAGGUAUCAUGUCAAGGAGGAAAUUGGUAAAGGCUCUCUACUCGUUUUAGUUGAGAGGUACAGUAUUGAAUGUAUUAUAAAUGCAUUGCUGUAAAUCUGAGAAGCCAGAGUGCAGCCACACCUAUCCCUGUUAUUAGCAAGGCAGUAAAGUUCUCCAUAGUACAGAAGAGAAACUAGUAUUUUAAUAUGUAUACCGGAGAGUUUAAGAAAAGCACCUGGUAAGCUUCCUACUUAAUGACAAUUAAAUAUGGAUUUUAGUUCCUGCCCCCUCAAUUCCUAUGCUCUUCCAGAGCAUGAUACACCCAAUCUGCUCUACCUCAUCAGCCCAGGGCUGCUGGAGGGGUUGCAGGGGGAGGGGGCUUCUACUCUUUUCUCUAUCUGACAGACUGAAGGUUUUCCAGCAGUUUGAAACAGCCAAGGACAAAACAAUCUUGUGGGUGUUAGUGUCUGGAAGCAACCAAAAGGCCAUUGUGAGUCACCGAAGAAAGGGAAUUGCUAAUGAAGCAAGACCACACCUCUGCACAAAGGACUCUCAGACCCUGCUUGGAGCCUGGCACGUAGCCCUGGACACGGACAGCAAAGCCUUUUUUGCUGAGCCAUCAACCAGACUUGCUUCUGCCAUAAAUCCCAGGUCCUUGUGUGAAGCCUGAAUCAGCUGACCUGGCACAUCCUCCUCACUGAACCCAGCCAUCUGCUCAAUGCUGUAUUGCCCUGCUGCAGCACCAGUUCCAGCUGGAAGUGGUCUGGAGUUUUAAAAAUAAACUAAUGUUUUCAAAGAUGUAAUUCGAAAAGGGUGCGAGUCCCUCGUCAGCCCAGAACAAAGAAGCGUUGUGGAGAAAUGCCUUUUGUUGCCAUUGUUCCUCUUACAGACUUUGGUUAGUUGUAACAACUGUGCACUGUUUGUCAUGCAAAAUAAAACUGCUGGAAGACACAGCAACACUGGAUUCCCCUGUUAGCAGCUUAGGAGCAGGGAUUGGUAUUCCCCACCCCCCCAUAAAACUUGGACAUCUUUUUGGCAGCAAGAUUUCUGUGCCCCCCCCGCCUUUCCUCCAUAACGAUGGAGUCUGAGGACAUUUAUUUGCAUUUCCUAUUAGAGCUCGGAAGACAGCAGAGAUCGACUGAAGGCUUGAUCAGUCUGGGAAAGACAGGGCUCUGGAAGGAAACUUUGUAUGGAGAGUCACACACAAAAUAUACAUCUCAGGCAGGAGGAGGAGAAACAGUACAAUGUUCACGACUGGGGAGGCUGGAGGAUAGCACAACAAUAUUAUUAAAGCAGGUUGAAAUUCCCCGUCCCCCUAAGGACCCAGCGCCCAACACAGAGACCAUUCCCAAUCAUGAAUUUUUCUCACACAGAGACAAAGCCUUUUAAAACCCAAGUUGCAAGGGGCUGGAAGACCUGAGCAAUGCAUUUAGAAUACCACACAGCACAGAAGUGGGAAGCAGGAAGAAACCUAGGUGUUUUUAACUGGUUUCUCACUCUCGACUGCCUUAGUUCUCAUGGGGAAUGUGCUCUUUCAGCUUGUAUAAGUAUGACCCUCCCAAGACACCAGAACAAGGUACUGGCAGGCAAGAAAAGCAUAAAAUUAAACAUAUGCAAAACCUU